GACGAACGCUGGCGGCGUGCUUAACACAUGCAAGUCGAACGGAAAGGCCCUGCUUGCAGGGUACUCGAGUGGCGAACGGGUGAGUAACACGUGGGUGAUCUGCCCUGCACUUCGGGAUAAGCCUGGGAAACUGGGUCUAAUACCGGAUAGGAGCCAUUUUUAGUGUGAUGGUUGGAAAGUUUUUUCGGUGUAGGAUGAGCUCGCGGCCUAUCAGCUUGUUGGUGGGGUAAUGGCCUACCAAGGCGGCGACGGGUAGCCGGCCUGAGAGGGUGGACGGCCACAUUGGGCCUGAGAUACGGCCCAGACCCCUACGGGGGGCAGCAGUGGGGAAUUUUGCACAAGGGGCGAAAGCCUGAUGCAGCGCCGCCGGGUGGGGGAUGCCGGCCUUCGGGUUGUAAACCCCUUUCGCUGGGGACGAAGCUUUUUUGGACGGUCCCGAGAAAAGAAGCCCCGGCUACCUCCGU
rnacentral:rRNA from 1 species